CGAUGAGUGUAUGGAAAAUAGAGAAGGGGAGUGUCCAUUCCAUCCUUUUUAUCUCAUUUUGGAUGUAGUGGUGGUGCGUUGUCAGAUGACAGCUUGCACAGCUGUCCUUCAGCAAAGGUGCGGACAUGAGGUUUGCAGGUCCCAUGCACCCUGCGCCGUACAGGUCGAUGACCUCAUCGUCUGACAUCCGGAUGCGUGUGAGAUCUGUUGUUGACUUUUUGCCGAUAUAACCUCGGACUCGACCCCACAGGCUGUCAAGAACACAUCUCUUUCAACCCUCAAGAUCUGGGUUGGCGAAUUCGGCCAUAACGUCAAGGCUAAGAAACCUUAUAUUCUAUCAGAGGAGUUAUGCACCCUCCUCUACCCAAAUGCCAAGA